rnacentral:rRNA from 1 species
AUUGAACGCUGGCGGCAUGCCUUACACAUGCAAGUCGAACGGCAGCACGGGUGCUUGCACCUGGUGGCGAGUGGCGAACGGGUGAGUAAUAUAUCGGAACGUACCUUAUUGUGGGGGAUAACGCAGCGGAAGCUGUGCUAAUACCGCAUACUCCCUAAGGGGGAAAGCGGGGGACCGUAAGGCCUCGCGCAAUUAGAGCGGCCGAUACCUGAUUAGCUAGUUGGUGAGGUAAAGGCUCACCAAGGCAACGAUCAGUAGCUGGUCUGAGAGGACGAUCAGCCACACUGGGACUGAGACACGGCCCAGACUCCUACGGGAGGCAGCAGUGGGGAAUUUUGGACAAUGGGGGCAACCCUGAUCCAGCAAUGCCGCGUGAGUGAAGAAGGCCUUCGGGUUGUAAAGCUCUUUUGUCAGGGAAGAAACAGCAGCUCUAACACAGUAUGCGAAUGACGGUACCUGAAGAAUAAGCACCGGCUAACUACGUGCCAGCAGCCGCCGUAA